rnacentral:rRNA from 1 species
UACGGAGGUGGCAAGCGUUGUUCGGAAUUACUGGGCGUAAAGGGCGCGUAGGCGGCCUUCUAAGUCAGACGUGAAAUCCCCAGGCUUAACUUGGGAACUGCGUCUGAUACUGGGAGGCUUGAGUGCGGGAGAGGGAUGUGGAAUUCCAGGUGUAGCGGUGAAAUUCGUAGAUAUUGGGAAGAACACCGGUGGCGAAGGCGGCGAGCUGGUCCAUUACUGACGCUGAGGCGCGACAGCGUGGGGAGCAAACAGG